rnacentral:lncRNA from 1 species
CUACGAGUUAUUUUAGAAAAAAAAAAAAGCAGACUAAAGUAGCAAAGGCAUCUGUCUAAAUUGGCUGUAAUGAGACCAAAGAACCCUUCUAAAGCAGAUACAAAAACAAAAGCAAGGACUGGAGUGUGAAGGAGAAGGUUUCUCUGGGAAAACAUUUGAAAACCUUUAUUUCCAAGCCUACCAAUCAAUAAAUAUUAUCCCCCAUUGUGAAUGAACCCCAUAUGAGGCUCUCUGCAGGUGGAUACUAAAGAAACCCCAGGCAUCAGACAUAUUCUCAGAGAACAUGAAAUGUGGUAGGAGGUAUAGGCCUCAUGAGAAUAAACUAAAUCAGGAUAUUUACACAGAUCCAUCAAGUCCAGUACAGACUGAAGUAUGCAGCUGCUGUCCACCCAAAGUAGCUCAAAUUUUACGUGCUCAAAAGUAGAACUCACCUGCUCUUUCUUUUGUAGUUCCUAUUUCAGUUGGAGGCAUCCAGUUGCUUGUGCCAGAAACCUGGUUACCAUUCUUGACUCCUUCUUCUCUAUCAUUAUUUGAAUGACCAAAUACUAUCGGCUUUAACCCAAAUGUUUUUCAAAUCUGCCUCUAGGGGAGGCAGCCUUUGUAAACAGCAGUGUAGGCUAACAUUAUUCCAGCUUAGAUAUCUAUGGGGAGGAAUCUCUUUAGACUCAAAUUUCUUUUCUAAGUGAGUGAAAUACAAUGACUGUCAGACCUAACAAAAUCAGGAACUUGUCUGCACCCUUCCAUCUCUGGGAAAUUGACAUGGACUCCUAAAGAUUGCUGUACCUGUCAAACCAAAUGGCAGAUAGAAAAGAUGGGGCCUGUUGGGGGGUAGAGGCAAGGGGAGGGAGAACAUUAGGACAAAUACCUAAUGCAUGCGGGGCUUAAAACCUAGAUGAUGGGUUGAUAGGUGCAGCAAACCACCAGUCACAUGUAUACCUAUGUAACAAGCCUGCAUGUUCUGCACAUGCAUCCCAGAACUUAAAAUAAAAUAAAAUAAAAUAAAAUAAAAUAAAAUAAAAUAAAAUAAAAUAAAAGGUGGUUGAGGACCCAAAGAACCCUACAUAAUGUCAACAGAAACACAUUUUAUUGGACAUUCUUAAGUCUUCCUAUGACUUGGUACUGCAUGUGCUAAUCUUGGGAAAGUCAGCUGCCAGAACUUUGGGAAGCAGAAAAUUGGAUACAUGAGCUUGAUUAUUCAAAUAAAUGAUUUGAUACCUAAAUUAUCUGGAUAAUUGCCUCCUUAUGGUCUAGGACAACCUGACCCCCCAUACUCCUAGAGCCACAGGAAAUCUGAGAGUCAUAAUUGCCUGUGGGAAACUAAAUAGAGUGUCUGAGGGGGUGUCUGCAGAGUAGGAAAUGAAAACCGACUGUUCAAAGUGGCAAAUGAGUAACGUGUUCAUUGUGACAGGUAGAAAAUCAGCCCAGGCUGGGAGUAAGUCGGGGGAGUAAAUUUUGGUUGGUGUCUGACAAUUUCCUUAUCCUGUCUAUUUUUUAAACUUUGGUUGAUUCAUUCCCAAGUAACCCUCAUCCAGUGUUAGUUUCUUGUUUAUUCUAUGCUCACAUAGCACCAGGGGACUGUCUGUACCACAUAUUUGCACUUAUUUAUAUGCUGCUUUGUAAAUGUUUUUAAGCCCUUUUUCUAUAUGUGUGCCAUGUUUUCUGAAGUGGAUUUAUGUUCUCUGAUGUAGUCUCCUCAAUAGUCAUUUCCCACUUUCCUCUCAUCUGCAUUUUACAGCUCUGUUCGUUUGAUGUUGUCUCAUAAAGACCUCCAUGUAACUUCUUAAUACCUUUAUCUACACUUCGCCCUCCUUCUGCUGUUGAGUAAAAGUAUGAAAGUGAUGCUGCAUGUGCAGUCAAGAUAUAGUACACCUGCUAUUAGGUUUCCGCUUUACAAUGAUCUGCUUUAAGACAACAACUUGAGCAACUCUGCAUCUAAAAGCCUGGAUUCCUUGUGCAUACUUUGUGUCAUUGUCCAUGAUGCACAACAAGCUGAGCCCCUUCCUGUUCCCACAUAACAACAUGGACUUUGCCCUACUCUGCUUGGAAACCCCUUUCCCCUUCUGCACUUGGGAAGUCAGCAAGAAACUCAUGCUUCAAACCCUAGCUCAGAGGGUUGAGAACCUAGCUCCUCUCCCAGGCAAAUAUUCACUCAUCUCAUCUGCUCCCAGAAUGCUUUUUACAAACAUUUUCUAAGGCCCAUGCCCAUUUUAUAAUUUUGUUUUGUUUUCACAUCGGUCUUCACCAAAAUGCAUACUUCAAGACCACAGCUUAUUCAUUUUUAUAACCAUAUUACCAAAUACUGCAGCUGUCACACAAUGGAUACUCAUAAAAUAUUGGAGAAUAAAUAUUCAGGGAAUAAGUUCUUGUGUAGAAUGUUGAUAGUUCUCUGCUCUAUAUUCCCAUCCCUCGAAGGAGCCUGCCAGGAUGAAUUCUUCCAGCUUCAUUCUUCAUAUGCCUUCUCUGCCUCAAGAACCAGUGUCCUGCUGGUCCCAGUCCAUCCCUGCUGUCAUCCCAACUCUUCCAUUAAUUGGCAGAGGCAGAAUGGGGCCCUGAGGUGGUUUAAAUAAACCAUUUGUUCAUUUAUCAGAUAUUUAUUCCAGUAUUUGUCUCAAUAUUUAUUUCAUGUCUACCCUGUGCCAGGUGCAGUUUGUUUUACGUGCUGUUCAUAUACCAGUUAACAAGAUAGUCAAAGUCCCCAUCCUCCUGAUGCUUAUAUUUUAAUGAUUUAGUUUGGAAAGUGAGCUGAUGGACAGAUUAAAAAUGGAAAACAAAGCUUUUUGCCUACAUUGUCUGAUCAAUUCAAUUCAAAGCUAUAUAAAUCUUCAUUUUUCCACUUGAGUUUGGUAAUUGAGUCCUAUCUGCAUGUGUCUUUCUGUAGUCAUACUUCCCAGAAAAAAAAAACAACAUAUACCAUGGCCACACUUGCCCCUAGCACCUAUGCCAUGCUAUAGGUAGACACAUACACCUAUACAUAUAUACACAUAUACACAGCUAUACAAUGUAUACACUCACUGAUCAUCCAUUCACCCAAAUAUCAAACCUCCCAAGGUAUAAGGUAUGCCACCUUCCCCUCCACUAAUACAUAUCCAUUCUGAUGCAUUUCUU